GUCCAUGCCGUAAACGUUGGGCACUAGGUGUGGGGGACAUUCCACGUUUUCCGCGCCGUAGCUAACGCAUUAAGUGCCCCGCCUGGGGAGUACGGCCGCAAGGCUAAAACUCAAAGGAAUUGACGGGGGCCCGCACAAGCGGCGGAGCAUGCGGAUUAAUUCGAUGCAACGCGAAGAACCUUACCAAGGCUUGACAUGGACCGGACCGCCGCAGAAAUGUGGUUUCCCCUUUGGGGCCGGUUCACAGGUGGUGCAUGGUUGUCGU
rnacentral:rRNA from 1 species